GCAGAGUUGGCUCAAUUGGUACAGCAUCGGUCUUGAAAACCGACAUUCCUCACGGAUAUCUGGGUUCGAAUCCCAGGCUCUGCGCUA
rnacentral:tRNA from 1 species